rnacentral:rRNA from 1 species
AGGGGGGAGGCACCGCUGGCCGAAGCGACUCUCUGGUCUGUAACUGACGCUGAGGAGCGAAAGCGUGGGGAGCGAACAGGAUUAGAUACCCUGGUAGUCCACGCCGUAAACGAUGAGUGCUAAGUGUUAGGGGGUUUCCGCCCCUUAGUGCUGCAGCUAACGCAUUAAGCACUCCGCCUGGGGAGUACGGUCGCAAGACUGAAACUCAAAGGAAUUGACGGGGGCCCGCACAAGCGGUGGAGCAUGUGGUUUAAUUCGAAGCAACGCGAAGAACCUUACCAGGUCUUGACAUCCUCUGACAAUCCUAGAGAUAGGACGUCCCCUUCGGGGGCAGAGUGACAGGUGGUGCAUGGUUGUCGUCAGCUCGUGUCGUGAGAUGUUGGGUUAAGUCCCGCAACGAGCGCAACCCUUGAUCUUAGUUGCCAGCAUUCAGUUGGGCACUCUAAGGUGACUGCCGGUGACAAACCGGAGGAAGGUGGGGAUGACGUCAAAUCAUCAUGCCCCUUAUGACCUGGGCUACACACGUGCUACAAUGGACAGAACAAAGGGCAGCGAAACCGCGAGGUUAAGCCAAUCCCACAAAUCUGUUCUCAGUUCGGAUCGCAGUCUGCAACUCGACUGCGUUGAAGCUGGAAUCGCUAGUAAUCGCGGAUCAGCAUGCCCGCGGUGAAAUACGUUUCCCGGGCCUUGUACACACCCGCCCCGUCACACACGAGAGUUUGUAACACCCGAAAGUCGGUGAGGUAAACUUUUUAAGGAGCCCAGCCGCCCGAAAGUGGGACAGAUGAUUUGGGGUGAAGUCGUAACAAGGUAACCAUUAG